AUUUUGGACAACGGGGGAAACCCUGAUCCAGCCAUCCCGCGCGUAUGAUGAAGGCCUUCGGGUUGUAAUGUACUCUUGUCAGAGAAGAAAAGGCAUCCCCUAAUACGGGAUGCUGCUGACGGUAUCUGCAGAAUAAGCACCGGCUAACUCCGUGCCACCAGCCGCGGUAAUACGUAGGGUGCAAGCGUUAGUCGGAAUUACUGGUCGUAAAGCGUGUGUAGGCGGUUCGGAGAGAAAGAUGUGAAAUCCCAGGGCUCAACCUUGGAACUGCAUUUUUAACUGCCGAGCUAGAGUAUGUCAGAGGGGGGUAGAAUGCCACGUGUAGCAGUGAAAUGCGUAGAUAUGUGGAGGAAUACCGAUGGCGAAGGCAGCCCCCUGGGAUAAUACUGACGCUCAGACACGAAAGCGUGGGGAGCAACCAGG
rnacentral:rRNA from 1 species